CCAUAAUUAACAAUUUACAUAGUUUAUAAUAUAGGAACCACGCAUCUUUUUAAAGGGGUACUGUCUCUUCUGGAAUGUACACAAAUACUCUGUGUUUUAAAUUUAUGAUAAGUAGUUAGCACGUUGCACAAUAAUAAAGUUCGGACAAGGUGAAAAUAGGGCAAACAUUGCAAAUGAAGAGGAAAAAUAGAAAUGUUGUUUAUUUCUAUUCUCUGUAUGCUUUCUAUAUGCUAACUGGUGCAAAGGACAGAGGUUAUAACUACGAUUCAUAUAGCGUUAACAUAAAGGCACCCAGUUGGAGAUGUGGAGGUAUGUAUUUCUGAAAAGGGUAACUCAAAGUAUCAUGACCACUUCAGUGAUUUGAAGUGGUCACAGUGCCUAGAGUCUGUAUGUGCAGCUUAUGAAAAGCUGUGGGGAAUAUGAGGCUACUCAUACUGGGGCCUAUAUAGCUGUGGUGGUUAUGUGGCAUUGGAUAUAGAGGCUGUUGUGUUAUAAGUAAUGUAGGGCAGUGGGGAGAAUGUGGGAUUGGAUAAAUGGGGGCUGUUGUGGUUAUGAGUAAAGGAGGAUUGAGGGAGACCUAUGGUACUGAAUAUUGGGGGAUAUUCAGGACAUGUAGUACUGGAUAUUGGGGAUUGUGGGGAUAGGAGUAAUGGAAAGUUGUAGGGUAUAUGUUGCAAUGAAGACUUUG